rnacentral:misc_RNA from 1 species
ACUGCAUGGUGGCAUUCAUCAAUUCUACCAUCAUUUUUAUACGAUACGAAAGUAGGACUUGUAAGGUACUAAAUUUCGGUUGGAAAAAUUUAAAGUAAAGAUGUCCAUCACAUUGGACCAUAUUAACUCUUUUUUUGGCCUAAAUGCCCAGUUGGAAGAUUUAAAUGUGGCACCCACUGCAACAGGUGGUACUGGCAUCAAUAAUAUGCAGCAGUUUCCUCCGCCACGUCCUACCAAUCCAAAUUUUUGACUAGGAGACAGACCUUAGAAUUGCCCGGUUCAACCGUCAGCCUCACUACCUUGGAGGAUGUUGACGAUAAUAGUACUGCCAUCACUGAGGGACCAGCGGUCAGUGAAUUGCAUAAUGAAGAAACCAGACAAAUCUACUCUACUUACUUUAAUGAAGCCGCAAACUACGAUCCUGAUCUCCCCAUCACGAGUUACUUGGAACAGGUAAAAAACAUUUUACUCUCUUUUUUUUCUGGUUUCAAAUUUCCCUAAAAAUUUGAGUGCAAUAUACUUUCAG